rnacentral:sRNA from 1 species
CAUAUGAAUGCUACACUUGGUCUCUCUCAGGUGACAGUGGGGCCGGGUGUUGGUCUGUCUCUGGAAGACACCAGUUCCGCCCUACCUUCCCUGCCUCCAGCCCCUAUGUCACCACGGUGGGAGGCACAUCCUUCCAGGAACCUUUCCUCAUCACAAAUGAAAUUGUUGACUAUAUCAGUGGUGGUGGCUUCAGCAAUGUGUUCCCACGGCCUUCAUACCAGGAGGAAGCUGUAACCAAGUUCCUGAGCUCUAGCCCCCACCUGCCACCAUCCAGUUACUUCAAUGCCAG